rnacentral:sRNA from 1 species
CCUAGUAAGCGUAAGUCAUCAGCUUGCGUUGAUUACGUCCCUGCCCUUUGUACACACCGCCCGUCGCUACUACCGAUUGAAUGGCUUAGUGAGGUCUUCGGAUCGACGAAUGAUGAAUAGCAAUAUUCGUUAUUUGUUGAAAAGUUGAACAAACUUGGUCAUUUAGAGGAAGUAAAAGUCGUAACAAGGUUUCCGUAGGUGAACCUGCGGAAGGAUCAUUAUAAAAAUUUACAUUUUAAUAUGUAAAAAAAAAAAAUGUAUUCAAAACCCAAUUCUUUAAAUCAUAAAAUAUAUUUUAUAUAUUUUUAUAUAUAUAUAUAUAUUAAAAAAAAUAAAUAAUAAAAUAAUAACUUUCAACAACGGAUCUCUUGGCUCUCGCAUCGAUGAAGAACGCAGCGAAUUGCGAUAAGUAAUGUGAAUUGCAGAAUUACGUGAAUCAUCGAAUCUUUGAACGCAUAUUGCACUCUCUGGUAUUCCGGGGAGUAUGCCUGUUUGAGGGUCAGUAAAAAUAAAAAAUCUAUCAUGAAUCCUUUUUUUUAUUAAAUCGGAUCGUGGAAUUGGAUCUUUUCAAAAGAUUUCAUUAUCUUUUGAUGAUCUUAAAUUUAUGUUAUAUGGCUAUAUAUAAACUGAACCAAAACGAGCAAUUAUUUAUAAUUUAUCUCAUUUAGUGAUGUUUUAUUAAGCUAAAUAUGAUUAUUUUGGUAUUUAAUAUAUCUUUAAAAUCAUAAACAUAUUUUAAAAAUGACCUCAAAUCAGGUAAGAGUACCCGCUGAACUUAAGCAUAUCAAUAAGCGGAGGAAAAGAAACUAACAAGGAUUCCCCUAGUAACGGCGAGUGAAGAGGGAAAAGCUCAAAUUUUAAAUCUAUUACGUUAUACGUAAUCGAAUUGUAAUUUGAAGAAGCGUUUUCUCGUUCCACGAUCAGUAGAAGUUCUCUUGGAACAGGACAUCAUAGAGGGUGAUAAUCCCGUGUGUUAUUGAUCGUGAGUUCGUCAUACGAUACGCUUUCAAAGAGUCGAGUUGUUUGGGAUUGCAGCUCUAAUUGGGUGGUAAACAUCACCUAAGGCUAAAUAUAUUUGCGAGAGACCGAUAGCGAACAAGUACCGUGAGGGAAAGAUGAAAAGAACUUUGAAAAGAGAGUUAAAAAGUAUGUGAAAUUGUUGAAAGGGAAACGAUUGAAGUCAGUCGUGCAGUCAUCAACUCAACGGGUAUCGUUCGUAAUUUAUUGCUUACGUUUCCGUGUACUUUGUUGUCUGCUGGUUAGCAUCAAUUUUGAUUGUCAUAAAAAGGUUAAGGGGAUGUGGCUCCUUCGGGAGUGUUAUAACCCUUGGCGGAAUGUGGCGAUUGGGAUUGAGGAUUGCAACGAAACCUUUCCUUCUGGUCUCUUGUUGACGUUCAGAUGGCGACAGCUUGCUUUCGUUGUUUGAAUAGUUUGCGAAUAGAUUAGAAUGUGAAUUAAUUCGUUAAGGAUGCUGACGUAAUGGCUUUAAACGACCCGUCUUGAAACACGGACCAAGGAGUCUAACAUA